rnacentral:rRNA from 1 species
CGGAAUCUGCCUAUUUGUGGGGGAUAACGUAGGGAAACUUACGCUAAUACCGCAUACGACCUACGGGUGAAAGCGGAGGACCUUCGGGCUUCGCGCAGAUAGAUGAGCCGAUGUCGGAUUAGCUAGUUGGCGGGGUAAAGGCCCACCAAGGCGACGAUCCGUAGCUGGUCUGAGAGGAUGAUCAGCCACACUGGAACUGAGACACGGUCCAGACUCCUACGGGAGGCAGCAGUGGGGAAUAUUGGACAAUGGGCGCAAGCCUGAUCCAGCCAUGCCGCGUGGGUGAAGAAGGCCUUCGGGUUGUAAAGCCCUUUUGUUGGGAAAGAAAAGCAGUUGGUUAAUACCCAAUUGUUCUGACGGUACCCAAAGAAUAAGCACCGGCUAACUUCGUGCCAGCAGCCGCGGUAAUACGAAGGGUGCAAGCGUUACUCGGAAUUACUGGGCGUAAAGCGUGCGUAGGUGGUUUGUUAAGUCUGAUGUGAAAGCCCUGGGCUCAACCUGGGAAUUGCAUUGGAUACUGGCAGGCUAGAGUGCGGUAGAGGGUAGUGGAAUUCCCGGU